ACAAAAUUAAUGUCAAAGUGGAUAAAAAAAGACAUUGGAUCAGAUGGAAUAGAAGCCCAAAAGAAGUUGGACGAGCAAGCCAAGCCCACAUGCACUUGGCAUGUGCCAAGCACAUGUGGACCACACAACAACACAUGGCGUUGGCCAUGCUUGUGGCACUCGCCACACACAUAAAACAUGGCGCCGGCCAUGUGCCUUGUGGCACNNNNNNNNNNNNNNNNNNNNNNNNNGGAGAUAUUUGUAUCUCAUAAAGACUAUAAAUAGAGAACACCAGUCAGUGUUUUUCGGAGAUUAUUCUACGCAGACUUAAGAGAAAAAAUUCAGUUUAAAUUUCAGUUGUUAAGUAGUCUUAGUUUACGGAACAAGGUGUGGUGUUGCUGUUUACACUUCCAGUUUCAUUCAGUGUCUCUGCUUUCCUUUGUUCCGGUGUACCUGUACUAGUUUAACUAGUAUUUGUAAGUUUUAAUAACAGUAAUUUUAUUUUAUUCAGUUUCAGUAUUAUUAUAUUUCAGUUUGAUAUUCAUAUGCUCUGUUUGAUUUAAAGUUACUCUGUUUAAAUGUUUUGUUCAACUAAGAAUUGUUUAAUCAGUAUCAUGUCAAAUAAAAUCAUGUGUAGCUAAAUCUAUUUAACUGGAAUGUGAAUUAGGAAGCUAAUUUGGAUUUGGUAAUUAAUCUGUGAC
rnacentral:lncRNA from 1 species